rnacentral:rRNA from 1 species
GAAGUCUGACGCAGCCACGCCGCGUGCGGGAUGAAGGCCUUCGGGUUGUAAACCGCUUUCAGCAGGAACGAAAAUGACGGUACCUGCAGAAGAAGGAGCGGCCAACUACGUGCCAGCAGCCGCGGUGACACGUAGGCUCCAAGCGUUGUCCGGAUUUAUUGGGCGUAAAGAGCUCGUAGGCGGUUCAGCAAGUCGGGUGUGAAAACUCUGGGCUCAACCCAGAGCCUGCACCCGAAACUGCUGUGACUAGAGUUCGGUAGGGGAGUGGGGAAUUCCUAGUGUAGCGGUGAAAUGCGCAGAUAUUAGGAGGAACACCGAUGGCGAAGGCACCACUCUGGGCCGAAACUGACGCUGAGGAGCGAAAGCGUGGGUAGCAAACAGGAUUAGAUACCCUGGUAGUCCACGCCGUAAACGAUGGGCACUAGGUGUGGGUCUCUAACCAACGAGAUCCGCGCCGUCGCUAACGCAUUAAGUGCCCCGCCUGGGGAGUACGGUCGCAAGACUAAAACUCAAAUGAAAUUGACGGA